GCAGCAAGGACAAUGAGGUUGAGGUGAGCGCGACGGUGCGCCGGUCGACGGCGCUGCUGGGCGGCACCGACGCGGUGCGAGGAGGCGGGCCUCAGAUGGUCGACGGGGUGAUGUGGUUCCGACCGGCGGC
rfam:Oryza sativa Japonica Group DNA, chromosome 8, cultivar: Nipponbare, complete sequence.